UUCAUUUUUGCGUCUUUUACUUUUGGUUUUGUACACCCGUUUCAAAUGGCUGAAAAUACAAUAUUUUGGGCAAUGGAAAAUAUAUUUCACAGCGGUUUAGAUGGUACAAUGAUUCUCUACAGUAUACUUGGUUGUUUUGUCACAUUAACUGAAAUAGGCGAUCUAUUAGAAUUUGUUUUACCAAUGGACACAAAACAGCUUAGUUUCAGUUUUUUUUAAGGAUGGUCCAGUCUCUAGCAGCGGGAGAAUUGAAAAUCAGUUUCACCAAAGAAACUGAGUGACGUGAGGAUUGCCAGGUGUGCAGCUAUCUCCUGUCGUUGCUGUGGGGAUCCAGCUGAUCUUAUCACCUGAACCGCGGCCCUCUUCUGUCACUGACAUGGGGGUCCGGACGUCUGCUGUUCUGAGAUCUUAGCCCGCCACUGCAGUAGAGAUCUAGCCAACCUUAGCUCCUGUCCUGGGUCCGCUCCUGUCGCUGAUGGGGCGGCCUCGCCGUCUUCACUCCAUAGGCCCUCUUCGAGCUCUGCUGCUGCGGCCAUGCGGUCUCCAGGCCUUCAUUGAGACCUGCGGCUGAUCCUCCGCCGCCUGCCAUGCUGAGACCUUCUGAUCCGGGGCCUUCACCUGGUCCCUCUGCCUGGGUCCGGUCUGUCCUUCAGCCACCGCCCGUUGCUGCUUCGUGGGUCCAGCCACCAAAGUAUCAUGACCCAGGGACCGAUCUCUGCCACUGCGGCCAUGAUGUCUCCAGUCCUGGUGUACCCAUCUGACACCACUAUGUAUCACAAACUGUUUAAACACACACACACACACACACACACACACACACACACACACACACACACACACACACACACACACAUAUAUAUAUAUAGCGUGAUUGAAAGAAAUCAUGUAUGUUCUUUCAACUAUGGUUGACUAUAUUACUUAUAUGACCUCAGCUUUCUACUCAUUAUUCCUUAUUAAUUAAACAAACAUGUAUGCUUCAAUUGAUUGAAAUAACUGGACACUGCAUCCUGUUGGUCUCCUGACUCCUGCUCCUUACCUGGGGAUCUUACAAGCCCUCAAUGCUAAGGGUCCUCCUGUUGGC
rnacentral:lncRNA from 1 species